UUUGGARAARAUUGAUCCUGGCUCAGGACGAACGCUGGCGGCGUGCCUAAUACAUGCAAGUCGAGCGGACAGAAGGGAGCUUGCUCCCGGAUGUUAGCGGCGGACGGGUGAGUAACACGUGGGUAACCUGCCUGUAAGACUGGGAUAACUCCGGGAAACCGGAGCUAAUACCGGAUAGUUCCUUGAACCGCAUGGUUCAAGGAUGAAAGACGGUUUCGGCUGUCACUUACAGAUGGACCCGCGGCGCAUUAGCUAGUUGGUGGGGUAAUGGCUCACCAAGGCGACGAUGCGUAGCCGACCUGAGAGGGUGAUCGGCCACACUGGGACUGAGACACGGCCCAGACUCCUACGGGAGSCMSCAGUAGGGAAUCUUCCGCAAUGGACGAAAGUCUGACGGAGCAACGCCGCGUGAGUGAUGAAGGUUUUCGGAUCGUAAAGCUCUGUUGUUAGGGAAGAACAAGUUCGAGAGUAACUGCUCGCMCCU
rnacentral:rRNA from 1 species